UGGGGAAUAUUGCACAAUGGGGGAAACCCUGAUGCAGCGACGCCGCGUGAGCGAAGAAGGCUUUCGAGUCGUAAAGCUCUGUCCUAUGAGAAGAUAAUGACGGUAUCAUAGGAGGAAGCCCUGGCUAAAUACGUGCCAGCAGCCGCGGUAAUACGUAUGGGGCGAGCGUUGUCCGGAAUUAUUGGGCGUAAAGGGUACGUAGGUGGUUUUUUAAGUCAGGUGUCAAAGCGUGGAGCUUAACUCCAUUAAGCACUUGAAACUGAAAGACUUGAGUGAAGGAGAGGAAAGUGGAAUUCCUAGUGUAGCGGUGAAAUGCGUAGAUAUUAGGAGGAAUACCGGUGGCGAAGGCGACUUUCUGGACUUUUACUGACGCUCAGGUACGAAAGCGUGGGGAGCAAACAG
rnacentral:rRNA from 1 species